GUGAUUUAUUGUUUGUGUCUCCAGACUUCCUUUUCACCUUAUAUAUGAUAACUUUUUUUUUUUUAAAAUUUUGAUUGUUAUCUUCUCUAGGGUUAUUAUUUUUAACAAAAACCCUUUACCACUUUGAUGUUAGACUGAUUGAUUUCAAGGACUAUUGUGAAGAUGACUGUUGGUUCAAUUUUCUACUGAAACUAGUAAUAUUUUAGGUUGAUUCUGCUGUUUGACCGGUUUGUAUCAUGAGUACUGAGAGAUAGUUCUUUUCUAAAUAUGAUGUGGUUUCUAAAUUUAGUUUUGUUUAGCUAAAUUAUAUUUUGCUAAUUGUUAGGAUUUCAUCCAUUGUUCCUGGCGAUUUUCCCUUUGUGUUGGUUGCUUUUCAUAUCUUGCAAAAAAAGAAAGAUUGGACAGAUAAUAGUUUUUAAGAAUGAUAUUGCCUUUGGAAUGCUAUUGAAAAAUUUUCCCUUUGAUUAUGUCAAAUGUGGCCUUAUCUCUACCAGUUACAAUGUGUAGAUACUAUGAGUGCUCGAUUGAAAAUCGAGCAUGAUCAGCUCAAAGGCAAGCUUACAACAAUUGAUAGACUUAGCAAACUGCCAUGGGGUAUUUUGGACAACAUCCUUGGUUGUCUACAGAUGAAGGAGGCUGUGAGAACAAGCAUCCUGUCUAGACAAUAGAGAUAGAAAUGGGUUAACCUUUUGAAGCUUCUCUUUGAUGUGGUCUCAAACCGUGCCCUUUGGAAUUCUCCAAAUUCAAGAGGCCUCCAAUACUACAUUUUUAAUGUUCUGCUGUCUCAUUGUGGCAAUAUACACACUUUUAAGCUUUGCAACACCUUCCCAGAAAAGUUCUCCGAUCUUCACGCCUGGAUACAUUAUCUUGCAAGAAACAGUAUCAGGGAAUUCACUCUUGAGUAUGUUAGCACAGCAAUUGAUUUUGCAAACGUGUAUAAGUUACCAGCUUGCAUAUGGUCUUUUGAACAUCUGACCCAUUUGCAGCUCUGUUGAUAUAAAUUACCACAACCUCCUUGUGCUUCUAAAGGUUUCAGAAAUCUUGUCGGUCUCCAACUUUAUGGGAAGCUUAGUGAUAUUCAGUUGCUUGAAAACUUGAUCUGCAACUGCCUUGUUCUACAGAUUGAUGCUCAAUAGUCUUCAAAAUUUCGCUUGUUUUGGUAUUCAGGCCGCAAAGCUAAAACAGGUAGGUCUUCAAGGAAAAUUGAGAGCUAUCAUUCUUAAAAAUUGUACGGUCCUAGCAGAGAUAACCUUAAUCAUCACUUCAGAUGGGUCUACCAGCGUUGAAUAUCAAGAUCAAGGAAGGAUUUACCAUUUGCUACAUUAUCUCAGUCAGCUAUACAGUCUGAAAAGAGUUAAAGUUUCUGGUUUUUUCCUUAAGAUUCUUUAUGCAUUUGAUCUUAGAAUUGGCUGAUGCGGAAUGUUUCAGACAUUGCCUAUAUUGCAUCCAACCAUUUGAAGAUUCUUUAUCUUGUUGAAAUGAGUUUCAACGAUCAUGAUCAGACAAAGGCUACUGUCAAACUUCUUAAACUCUUCUCAAACUUACGGGAACUCCAGAUCUUAAUUCGAAGCGGAGAAUAUUCAAGACAAUCAUUCGAAUUUCUGCAAGCACAAAAUCAAUCAAGCUACUGUUUUGGCCAACUUCAAAAUGUGAAGAUUCAUCUAAGAGAUUGUGUUACAAUUUUCAGCAACCGGCAUCCUGAAUUGGAAUUUAUCAAGUUCCUACUUAAUCAUUCUCCAGUACUCGACAAAAUGGUGAUUUUAAAUGAUGAGCAUAGAGAUAAAUUUAACUGACAGUUUAUGGAAGAAAUGCUGUUUUUUAAAAGGAUUUCACCAGAAGCAAAAAUUACAUAUUGUCCAGUGUCCUCACUGCCAUGCUACAAUACAAUCAAUCGAUGAUGAGUCUAUGCUCUUCAUUUUGUAAGUUGGGGUUGCAAGAUCUUGAGGCUUUUGGUUUUGUGUGUCAGGUUCUGAAGACCGGAAAAAAGAACUUGGGGGAGAAGGACACUUGGCAGCAGCAAGCUUGGACAGAUGGCAAUUCAGCAGAGGCUAGGACCACCAGAAAUGAUAAAUAAUUGUGGCACAACAGACAGCAGCUGCACUGCAAGGUGGUUAAGGAGGAUAAAAAGGAGAGGACAACAGCAGAAAAGGAUAUUCAGAAUUCAGCGAAAGGUGAGGGAAUUUGAGGGAGAGAGCAGGCCUCUCCAAUGCCUUGCAUAGUGGCUAUUUUCAUAGUCUAUGUAAUAAGAAUUUGUGGUUAUCUUCUUUGUUUAUGUAAUAGGAGUUGUGAGACAUUUUCCAAUUUCCAGAAACAGAAUCCACUUUUAUUGAAAUCAAUAUUGUUUGCUUUCAUGUAGAUUCAAUCCAAAGUUACAAUUCCAGAAUCUGUCUUUACUUUCUAAA